rfam:Afipia broomeae ATCC 49717 genomic scaffold supercont1.3, whole genome shotgun sequence.
CCGGGUGCCCUUCGGGGGCCCGGAGGAGACGGGCAUCGGAGGUGUUCGGUGCUCGCUUAUAUCCAACUUGCUCAGUGGAGGAUUUGGCUAUGAGAA